UACGUAGGGGGCAAGCGUUGUCCGGAUUUAUUGGGCGUAAAGAGCGUGUAGGCGGCCAGACAGGUCCGUUGUGAAAACUCGAGGCUCAACCUCGAGACGCCGAUGGAAACCGUCUGGCUAGAGUCCGGAAGAGGAGAGUGGAAUUCCUGGUGUAGCGGUGGAAUGCGCAGAUAUCAGGAGGAACACCAAUAGCGAAGGCAGCUCGCUGGGACGGUACUGACGCUCAGGCGCGAAAGCGUGGGGAGCAAACAGG
rnacentral:rRNA from 1 species